CGUCGUAGACGCCGACCCCUACCGGCACGACGAAGGGCACCGAGAAGGAGUGGCGACUGCUGCUCCCUCUCGAGGAUCCCCGGCUGAUGGACCGUUGGAUCUGGCUCGAUUGCCGGCGGAUCUCCCUCGACGACGUGUUCCUCUGAUAGGUCGACGACGUGCCUCUUUGAUAGGUCGACGACGUGCUCCUCUGAUAGGUCGACGACGUGCUCCUCUGAUCGGCGUACGACUCCUGAUUCGCCGUCUCCUGUAGGCGGAUGAGCUGGCGGUAUGCCCCCUCCGAAUCUUUGAGCAACUCCUCGUGCGACCCUGCGUAGAGGUGGCGACCACCGUCAAACUUC
rnacentral:lncRNA from 1 species